AGCCCCAUAGUUCAGUGGUCAAGAAUGCGAGGUUUUGAACCUCGCGACCCAGGUUCGAAUCCUGGUGGGGCUA
rnacentral:tRNA from 1 species